rnacentral:rRNA from 1 species
AAUGCCGGAUGUUCCACAUGAUCGCAUGUGAUUGUGGGAAAGAUUCUAUCGGCGUGGGAUGGGGUCGCGUCCUAUCAGCUUGUUGGUGAGGUAACGGCUCACCAAGGCUUCGACGGGUAGCCGGCCUGAGAGGGCGACCGGCCACAUUGGGACUGAGAUACGGCCCAGACUCCUACGGGAGGCAGCAGUGGGGAAUAUUGCACAAUGGGCGCAAGCCUGAUGCAGCGACGCCGCGUGAGGGAUGGAGGCCUUCGGGUUGUAAACCUCUUUUGUUUGGGAGCAAGCCUUCGGGUGAGUGUACCUUUCGAAUAAGCGCCGGCUAACUACGUGCCAGCAGCCGCGGUAAUACGUAGGGCGCAAGCGUUAUCCGGAUUUAUUGGGCGUAAAGGGCUCGUAGGCGGCUCGUCGCGUCCGGUGUGAAAGUCCAUCGCUUAACGGUGGAUCUGCGCCGGGUACGGGCGGGCUGGAGUGCGGUAGGGGAGACUGGAAUUCCCGGUGUAACGGUGGAAUGUGUAGAUAUCGGAAA